AUUGUUUUUAUUGGUUAUUAUCAUGCCUUCUAAGCCGUAGGCCACAGGUUCGAGUCCUGUUGGGCGCACCA
rnacentral:tRNA from 1 species